UACGUAGGGAGCAAGCGUUGUUCGGAUUUACUGGGCGUAAAGGGCGCGUAGGCGGCAUAUUAAGUCAUCUGUGAAAUCUCCGGGCUUAACCCGGAAAGGUCAGCCGAUACUGCGGGGCUAGAGUGCAGAAGGGGCAACUGGAAUUCUCGGUGUAGCGGUGAAAUGCGUAGAUAUCGAGAGGAACACCUGCGGCGAAGGCGGGUUGCUGGGCUGACACUGACGCUGAUGCGCGAAAGCUAGGGGAGCGAACGGG
rnacentral:rRNA from 1 species